AACAGAGUCCUUACCACACCUUG
rnacentral:miRNA from 1 species